rnacentral:tRNA from 1 species
CGCGGGGUAGAGCAGCUUGGUAGCUCGUCGGGCUCAUAACCCGAAGGUCGUUGGUUCAAAUCCGGCCCCCGCAACCA